AUCUGGUGGUGAGGGCAAUUGGCACAUAGUUUCUUAAAUAUCUCCUAGUAUUUAUAUAAGCUCUCUCCACUGAGUUGUCUAAUGCCUGAAAUAUCCUUUCUGAUGGU
rnacentral:snoRNA from 1 species